CCUACGGGGGGCUGCAGUCGAGAAUCUUGCACAAUGCACGAAAGUGUGAUGCAGCGACGCCGCGUGAAGGAUGAAGGCCCUUGGGUCGUAAACUUCUUUUAUGCGGGAAGAAAAAAAUGACGUUACCGCAUGAAUAAGCCACGGCUAACUACGUGCCAGCAGCCGCGGUAAUACGUAGGUGGCAAGCGUUGUCCGGAUUUACUGGGCGUAAAGAGUAUGUAGGCGGACAUUUAAGUAGAAAGUGAAAGGUUGGAGCUUAACUCCAACACUGCUUCCUAUACUGGGUGUCUUGAGUGCCGGAGAGGAAAGCGGAACGACACGUGUAGCGGUGAAAUGCGUUGAUAUGUGUCGGAACACCAAUGGCGAAGGCAGCUUUCUGGACGGAGCCGCAAGGCUUAAAACUGACGCUGAGAUACGAAAGCGUGGGUAGCGAACAGGAU
rnacentral:rRNA from 1 species